rnacentral:rRNA from 1 species
UACAGAGGGGGCAAGCGUUAUUCGGAAUUAUUGGGCGUAAAGGGCGCGUAGGCGGCAAUUCAAGUCAUCUGUGAAAUCUCCGGGCUUAACCCGGAACGGUCAGAUGAUACUGCUUUGCUAGAGUGCGGAAGGGGCAAUCGGAAUUCUUGGUGUAGCGGUGAAAUGCGUAGAUAUCAAGAGGAACACCUGAGGUGAAGACGGGUUGCUGGGCCGACACUGACGCUGAUAGCGCGAAAGCCAGGGGAGCAAACGGG